rnacentral:rRNA from 1 species
UGCGCAGGUGGGAAUGUAAGUCAGUGGUGAAAUACUGCCGCUUAACGGUAGAAUUGCCAUUGAUACUGCAUUUCUUGAGUAUGGUUGAGGUAGGCGGAAUGUGUCGUGUAGCGGUGAAAUGCAUAGAUAUGACACAGAACGCCGAUUGCGAAGGCAGCUUACUAGGCCAUUACUGACACUGAGGCACGAAAGCGUGGGGAGCGAACAGGAUUAGAUACCCUGGUAGUCC